rnacentral:piRNA from 1 species
UAAAGCAGAAUUAGAUGGCAGUACAAU